rnacentral:rRNA from 1 species
AGAGUUUGAUCCUGGCUCAGGACGAACGCUGGCGGCGUGCCUAAUACAUGCAAGUAGAACGCACAGUUUAUACCGUAGCUUGCUACACCAUAGACUGUGAGUUGCGAACGGGUGAGUAACGCGUAGGUAACCUGCCUGGUAGCGGGGGAUAACUAUUGGAAACGAUAGCUAAUACCGCAUAAUAUUAAUUAUUGCAUGAUAAUUGAUUAAAAGGUGCAAUUGCACCACUACCAGAUGGACCUGCGUUGUAUUAGCUAGUAGGUGAGGUAACGGCUCACCUAGGCGACGAUACAUAGCCGACCUGAGAGGGUGAUCGGCCACACUGGGACUGAGACACGGCCCAGACUCCUACGGGAGGCAGCAGUAGGGAAUCUUCGGCAAUGGACGAAAGUCUGACCGAGCAACGCCGCGUGAGUGAAGAAGGUUUUCGGAUCGUAAAGCUCUGUUGUAAGAGAAGAACGGGUGUGAGAGUGGAAAGUUCACACUGUGACGGUAUCUUACCAGAAAGGGACGGCUAACUACGUGCCAGCA